AUCGCCGUCUGCUGGCGGCCACUGCGCGUCCCUCGCCCUCUGCCUCGGCCCGAGAGCGGGGGUCCGCCAGCCCCGGCGGGUUUGUUGUCUCUGUGCUGCUCGCUGGGUGAAAGCGUUUGGAGAAGCUCUGGAGCUUUCGAGUAGGGGCUCACCCUGUGCACGGUACUCACACAUAUAAUUCAAAUUUCACAGCUGACCUGCUCUGAAAACCUCAAUCAGCUUCUAAUUGAAGGGAAAACAAAAUAUUGCUUCCCUACAGCAGAGCUAACGAUUUAAUCAUUAUAUCAGACAUUAUAGCUUUUAAUUAGGCUAAUGCUGAUACUGUAUGGAAAGAGAUAAUUCAACGCAGUUCUUGAUGAAUUCUGUAAUUGGGUUAACGGAGGAGCAGUCGGGGGAAGAGACGUCAAUAUUCAAGCCGCGUCCGUAGCCACCGCGUUGUGAAUGGAAGGGAAAGGGAAGGGAACGCGGGGGGGGGGGGGGGGGCAGACGGGGCGAAGCCCCCCGACGGGCGCUGUCCCCCCCCCCUCGCCCCGCAGAGCCGCGGCAGCCAACGGGAAGCGCGAUACCGGUAAGGGCCGAAGUGCCAUCGCGCUUGUCGCGACAGCAGCGCGACCUCACUACGGCCCCCGAGGCCCCUUUCCGUGCAUCUUCCCUCUGGCCGCGGUGACAACACGAGGGGGGAAGGGGCGAGCGGGUCCGGGUCUGUGCCAGCCCGGGGGUGGCAGAGGAGACGCGGAGAUGGGGACGGACCCGGGCCGGGCCGGUUCUGCAGCGAUACCCGCAGCGGCCGCGUUCCCCGCACCCGGGGCGGGGAGGGCGAGGCACGGAGCACCCAGGGCAGCUUUGUCCUGGCAAAAUACAGUGGUUCGGAGGGCGUUCUCUUAUUUAUGCAGUGUGCCCGAUAUUACGACCACUUUUUUUUUUUUUUUUUUUUCCUUUUUUUUUCUAAAGGAAUUCGUCUUUAAAUCCCCUCCUCGGUACUGAUGAUACAUCGUCCCUUUCUGAAGAGUUUGCCUAUCCCAUGCUUUUUGCUUUCUCUGCUUCUUCUCUAUUUUAUUUUUUUCUCUAUCCGGGAAAACGAGGCCGCGUAUUUGCGUUGCGCCUAAAGGAACUCGAACGAUCUCCGCACGUCGGAUGCGCGCAGCGCUCCGCGGCGGUUCCGAGCCGUGCCCGGGGGAUGCCCGUGGGGUGCCCUCUGCAGGGAUACGGGCCCUCUGGUUCCCCCACACCGCGGAGACACCUCGGAGCCGUUCCCCAUCCUCGGCCCGAUGCGAGAUUGGAGAGAGAGGGGCCGGCGCCGAGCGAAGUUUUGCAGCGGGAGCAUUUUGUCAAAUGUUUGUUUGCGCUCCGCGUUAGCUCCACUUCCAGCACAAUAUCCUCCUGAAAGCGAAAUAUUCCGUAUUGUGAUCCAACCUCGCCUUAUUUUGUCAGUAAUUACGGCAAAAUGAGACGGGUCAUUGAUAACAUCCCAGUGACACAACCCCUGUAAUUAACAGCCUGAAUACACCUUUGUGCGCUGCGCAGGAGUUGUAAUUUUGAAGUCUGCUCGAGUUUAGUUUAGCUUUUUAUUUGCGUUAAGGCGCACACGAGGGGUGUGCGCUGGGCAGAGGUUGGCAUCGGCCUCUGUAGGGCCUGGGGCUGUUUUGGGGGCGGCCAGAGCGGGGCUGGGUGCGGGUGGCUGAGCCCCGAAUAUUAUUACGACGAAUAAUAGUUAUGAAUAUAAUAGAAUAUAUGAUCAUUGUAUACUACAAGUUAUUGUGUAUUAUAUUCCAUUAUAGUUAUAACGAUAAUAAAAUGUUUGGCCAAGAAUUUGCUUGACGGCAGGAAGAAAAUGCUUUGAAAAUACAGUUUCCAAACGGGGAAGCUUCUAAGGGAAAACCAGGAAGAACGGAGGGCCCUGGGAUGCUAUCGGGGUCUCCUUGUGGCGGCCAUCCUGUUAUUGUAAAUGAGAUGAGCUACACGGGCUGCCACGUAAAUGUGACAUGAGGCUCGCAGGAGAGCAAAGCAUCAUCCACUCCAAUCUCUCCUUUCAUCGGAACGUCCCCCAGAAAUUACAUCUUCUCCUCCUUUAAUACACUUCGCAAUGAGAUUAAAACAUCACCUUGACACCGUUUCCGACCUUUUCGGUCGCAUCCAGUACUGACUCCAGAAAACAGCUAACGGGGAGAACUGGGAACAUCUCAAUAACCCCGGGCUGCUCCUCUGGAAGCUGAGAGUGCCCAGAGGACAUAAGUGAUCCUCUUGCUCCAUCCAGCGCAGCGCAGUGGCCAUGGGAAGCGUGAAACGAACCCCGGGCGGGCAAAAGGGGAAAGCCUAUUCCCUUCCCAGUGGCAGCACUGAGCUGCCGGGCCGGGCCGGGCCGUGGGGUUCACAGAAGGUGAUGUUCACAGCGGGGUUUUUCACGAACUCACCAGCCGCUGCCUCUCGUCACCUGUACGCGGUCACCGUGAGGUGUGACAGUAACACCACCGCCGGUAACGGCAGCCAAGGGACAUCUCACAGCGCUGUCACCGCUGCCCCACGCUCUGCUGGCGAUGUGCGCAGGGCACAGCCUAUUCCCAGAGCGUCCCGCUUAGGGCACUCCGCGCGGAUCCCAGCGCAGCCUCCGCUCUCUGCAAAGCCGAGUAGAGGGGAUCGCCUCCGCCCCAGCGCUGCCCCUCCUCUGGGCUCGGUGGGAAAGCACCGGGCGGGCGGCACUGCGGUCUGGGGACAGUUCGUACCCCCACGUCCGUCCCUCCGCACACACACGCACGCACCCGCGCACCCCUUAACAAAGAGUCUUUCAAAGCUCAACCUUUGAUGGCAGUCCGCGGGAAUCAAUGCGAUAAAACGGGUUUUUAAUGGGUUAAUUGACUGGAGCCGCUAUCAUGUUUUAACACCUGUUUCUGGAAAGAGAUGCAGCCAAAAGCCGUCCCCGCCCUGAUCGAUAGGUGCGCAGCCCCGCUCCGCUGCCUGUUGAUCGACCCCGAACGCCACCGGGAAACCAGAGAGAAAAAAGCCGGGUCGUCUUCAUGCACCCUAUAUGGGACGCGGGCGCACCCCGGGUCGGGCAGGGAGGGCACAGCCCCACUCGCACCUCCCCACCCUCGACGCCAUCAGCCGCGACACCACCGCCACUGCCACCCCCACGGGGCCCCGCAGCGGGGUUCCCCGCUCCGUGGGAGGAUGGAACCGCAUCGGCAGCGCUGAGAGCCCCUCCGCGUCCUCGCUCCGACGGGCACCGGUGUAACAGCGCGGUGUGCUCUGCCUAUUGAUUCCCCUGUUUGGCAGCGCCCGUCGGUCAGCCGCAGAGACGCCGACGCUUUGCUCCGAGCACCUUUGGCUCAAUGACACCGCGCACCGCGGUGUCCGUUCGGAACGAGCCCCGCCGCCCCCGGCCCGGCCGCGUCCCCCCGCCCCGAGCCCCGGUGGGGGGCACCGCCACCCCGUGUCACCGCCGACUGAGGUGAUGCGGGCGGCUCUUCCCUCCCCGCGGCGAAGGGAGCUCGGAAGCCCUCCCAUCGCCGCCUCCCCCUCCUUCCACCCUUCCCAAGAAGGGCCGAAGACCCCCUCAAAAGUUAGAGGCACACUUACAGUUGCUCUUCCAGCUCCAUCCUCCUCCCAACAGCUCAGCUCAAAGGGCAGCUUUAUUAUCAUCAUUAUUACUAUUUUUAAUUAUUCCCCCGCCCCCCCCCGCCUCACGCCUUUCCCCGGCCCAGCCGAGGCCACGGGGCCGGGCCCUGCGCUCUGCUCUCCCGCAGCUCUCGGGCGGCCGCGGUGCCCCGCGGCACACGCACAACCCCCGGCAGCGCUCUCCCUCUCCCUCUCUCUCCGCCGCACACACGCAUACACACACACACACACACACACACAUACACACUGUGCACAGGAGAGGGGGAGAGAGGGAGACAGAGAGAGAGAGAGAGAGAGAGGGGGGAUAAAAUGAAAUUUAUUAUUGAUAGCAACGACUUUACAGACAAUUUCUAGUUAUUGUUUCGCUCCGGAGAGAAAAGAAAAAAAGAAAGGGAAAAAAAAAAAAAAAAAGAAAAAAAAAGAGAGGGGCUUUUCUCCCCACCCCGACAUAAUGGAACGCUUUUGUGUGGCACGGAACAAUACCAAACAAGUAUUCUAAUAAAUAGCCACUUUUUUGUUCCGCGCCGGCGGUGAAUGGAACUGAGCAGUUGGUUCGGGAGCAGCUGGAGCCGGG
rnacentral:lncRNA from 1 species